rnacentral:rRNA from 1 species
AUUGAACGCUGGCGGCAUGCCUUACACAUGCAAGUCGAACGGCAGCACGGGUGCUUGCACCUGGUGGCGAGUGGCGAACGGGUGAGUAAUACAUCGGAACAUGUCCUGUAGUGGGGGAUAGCCCGGCGAAAGCCGGAUUAAUACCGCAUACGAUCUACGGAUGAAAGCGGGGGACCUUCGGGCCUCGCGCUAUAGGGUUGGCCGAUGGCUGAUUAGCUAGUUGGUGGGGUAAAGGCCUACCAAGGCGACGAUCAGUAGCUGGUCUGAGAGGACGACCAGCCACACUGGGACUGAGACACGGCCCAGACUCCUACGGGAGGCAGCAGUGGGGAAUGUUGGACAAUGGGCGAAAGCCUGAUCCAGCAAUGCCGCGUGUGUGAAGAAGGCCUUCGGGUUGUAAAGCACUUUUGUCCGGAAAGAAAUCCUUGGCCCUAAUACGGUCGGGGGAUGACGGUACCGGAAGAAUAAGCACCAGCUAACUACGUG